UGAAAUGGCUGAUCCAACCCAAUAUUCUUCCUGCCCCAGGAUAAUGGCAAUGUUUUCAGUCAGUGGUGGGAGAUGUAGUGAGGGAAAGGAAUGCUUCUAGAUGUGCUUUUGCCCAGCAAGGAGAAAACACACAUUUCCAAAACUGUGAAAAAGAGAAUGCACAAUAAUUUUACUCACCACACAACAGAGAUGUUCUUGCAGAAUCACACAAAUUAAUUACAGUAUUGACUAAGCAAUCUCCAACUUCACUUCUUGAAAAAGCAAUUCUGCACAAAGGAAAAGCUGAAUAAGGGUUUAGUAAUUUAGGACCAGCUGACAUGCUGAGCAUGGUAACUGUAUCUUACACAAGGUAAUAGUUUUGUGCUCAGAAUACUCCUAGGCCAGCAGACCAGAUGCUUUUUCCAGGGCAAACAAAUGAAAGAGCCUGGACUCUAUCUUCUCCAGCUGAAUUAAAUGCACCAUUCCAUACUAAGCCAAAUCCUGGACUCAGGUAAAGUAACAAAAUUGAAAUUAAUUUAUGUUGAUAAUUUGUUUAGAUCUGAAUGGUGACAACUAAAACCCUGACUUCCAUUUUCAGUAUUAAUUGUGUUUGUUACAAUGAUGACUAAAACUAACCGAAAGUGAAGUACCAUUGUGCAGACUUUACAGAAACUUUCUUUAUUCCACUUUUCCUCCCAUGUGUUGUAUUCCCAACAAUUUAUAAAAACUGUUGUAGUAACUGUCUUUUAUUUCCUUAUACUCUUUGCAUAGGAAACUAGUCUCAUCACCAGUCAUGAAAUGCCUCCUUUCUCUCACUUUCAUUCAUAAACCCCACAAAAUCCCACAAUCAAAUGCUUCUGCAGGAUUACACCCACACAAAACCAGAUGAGGAAUUUAGACUCCUACUGACCCCAGAAUUAAACAUGCAAGCAGGUUCACAUCUGGGGAUUUAAAUCCAAACUCCUUUACACAGAAAUUCAAAGAGGAUCAGAUCUGAGGUUCUGGUUUUGCACCAUUUCUAAUCCUAAUAAUUUUAACUUAAUCCAAACCUCAGCUACAGAACUAUACAAUUUUAACCAGGACACUACUGACAUAUUUGAAAGUGAAAAUAGGAAGCUAAGACUGACAUUUGCAGCUACUGCCACCCAUUAGUAACACUCAAGUAGGCAUUUAAAGAACCUCAUUUUCCCCUCAGUCUGCUUCUGCACUAUUGUGACUACUAAUUUAAGUGGAGUUAUCCCUAACUAACUCCCAUAUAAAUGGAAAAAGGUUCCAUCUUCAAUAGAGGAACCAACAUGGCCUUAUGUAGGCAGCAUUAAUUUUAAUUUCCUCUCUGUUCUUUGAAAAAAAAAAAAAAGGUACUUUUUAUUUAUUUGCAAGCUUUAUCUUAAAGUAAUUAUUUGCAAAAGUCAUCCUCAACGAGGGCUGGGUUUUUGGUUACUGAGUACAUUUUCUGGUUUAUAUUUUCCAUCAUAAGGCAUCCUGGUUUUGUAGAACGAUUUUUACUAGGAAAUGAAAUGAGAUUACCAUCAGAACUUUUAGACAUUGCUGCGAUGCAGUUUGAAAUUGAGCACAUUUUCAAGUUCACUAAAUAAAGCUUCUUUCAGCCACAAGCAGGUCGAAUGUGACUCUACAGCCAGCCACAGGACAUGGGCAGUUAGAAGUGACACAUCAGUUUUCAAGGUCAUCUGACUCAGCUUUGAUGUGAGCAAGGACAAGGUGCAGUGAUGACAGGCAGGUCCAUCACAUCAGAGCCCAGGAACAGAAGUAUCUUCUCUGAGCUGGUGCCUGACAAUUCGAAAUCAAAGGGCAUCUGGUGGAAGAUUACAGUUACAACAGUUUGGGGAAAAGGAAACAAAACCACUGUUCAUCCCUGCAAUGGGAUAUCUUGUGACAAACAUCUUACUCUAACUGGGGUCAAAACAUCUGACCUAUUAACAGAAAAGGAGCAGAUUGAGAGCUUGCCUGUACUGGUGCAGAAGGAUGCCAACCUCAGCAGAAUUUACUUAUUUCCUAAGAGCACAGCAAAGCCUCCUGAAGUUCACCAGGAAUUUUGUAGCACCUGUCUGGCACAAAAUCUGCUGGUCAUCUGAUUUUUCCUGUGGAGCCAGAGAAGACCAAGCUGGAUCCCCGAACUUCCUACACUGGUAGCCUCUACCAAAGUAUGUGUGGAUGCCUGCGAGCUAUACCAUCUACUGAAGGGGACAGCUGGAAUCAUUGGCAGGAACACAACAGCAUUUAUCAGGUUUUUCCCAGUGCUGAAGCUCUCGGUGGCAAAGACUGAGGCUUCGGAAAUGCCCUAGGAAGGCUGUCAGGAGCCAGCGGGCAUCGGGCAGUGACAGCAGACUUGCAAGCCAAGAGCAGCAUGUGUGAUAGCUACUCUAAUCACCACCCCUACAGACCUUAGCCCAGCAUGAAUCCCUCCCUUCCCUCCCUCCCUGCGAGAGAAGACACAGCAGCUGAAGUCGCCUUUACAAGUCAUGCUGACAUGGGAGAAAGAAGCUAAAUGGGAGAAAGAGGCUUAUGGGAUAAUGAGCAAAUAUUUUUUAAUUAGUGGUGAACUGAGUAUUUCUCCUGUUUCCUGCUCCAGAUCCUGGCUGGCAGAAGAAAAAGAAGGAGGCAGAACUGGGAUGGAGUAGGAGAGCACUAGGGUGAAUGGGAUUCCACCAAGUGGCUUUGCUUUUCCUAUGAUCCUUAAUCUCUCACAGUUGGGUCUCCUUCUUGCUCUGAUAUGCACAAUUUUUAUUUCCCCCUCUCUGCUGCAGCAAGCAUCAUUUUAAAAUUCCCACAGGCACAACUUUGGAGGCCUCCUAGUUUCCAAAGGAGAAGUAAGUCAGGUGAACCAUGAAUUCACCCUGUAGGUGGCAGGGACUCUUUUCUGACUGGUUUUCCCUCACCUUUAACCUUGUUCUACCCUCCCUUGAUGCAUUAGUGAGGUGCCUCAAAUCUGCAAGUGACAUAAUUUGCUCAACAAUCAGCAUUCUCCAUCAAUAAUGAAACCAAAAACAUAGCUUGAUAGACAACAAGGCUAGAGCAGCUGGCAGUGCUGCACAAAUCUGGCACUAUUGCUGCUGAGUUUAUUAGACGUUUUAUAGUCCUGAGAACUAAAGAUAAUGGAUCCCAUUCCCAUAUGCUGCAUCAACAAGAGCUGGGACUUCGUCGUGCCAUUGAUCUAUGAGGCAGCAGUGAAUACGACCCAGACACAAAUGUUAAAAUGAAUCAAUCCUAAGCUGCUAAAGAGACACCAAGAAGCACUUUCCAAUUCUCAGUUCUUGCUUUCUAAUCUCCGUUCCAUGAAAUACUCUCCCAAGGGUUUUUGAAUACAACAGUUUGCUGCAGAGUUUGGGAUCAGCUUGAGAGGAAUUGCCCCUGUGGAUCAAAGAAUAGAGAUGAAAUUUAGAGCCCAUUAUCCUUAGUAGGCACUUGUGAGCUCCACCCAUUCCCUAUGAAGCAAAAAGCUUUUGGGGAUUGCUUUAAUUUUUAAAAAGUGCUGUGUGAUUAUGUUCAUACAGGUUUGCUGUAGGGUUCAUAAAGCUAUUCUCCUCAGACGACUGGAAGACAAACUUUGAUUUGCUUCCAAGAACAGAAAACUGUAAGUAUCUGCAGCCAAGAGAAUUAAGAAAAAAAUUGGAACAGACUUUAGUCUGAACCUCACCAAUAGUGAGUACUACUCAGGUGUUAACAUUGGUUACUUCAGAAACUAUGGUACCUUCCAAUGUUAGCAUGUGAAACUGCCAUGGUUGCUGCAGUCUCAAAUCCAUUUCCAUUGAAUCUUCAUCAAUGUACUCUAUUUUACCUCUUUAAAACACUUAAUACUCAAUAUCCACAAAUUGUUUUAAAGCAAGCAUGCAAGGAAAAGAAAAAAGUCUAAAAUAGCAGCCUCUAGACUGACACCUGAAAUAUAAAAUAGAGACAAGAGAAAAAUGCUAUGAUGUAAAAUCAGUUUUCAAGGCAAGGAGAGACUGCCUGGCUAUGUACACAAAAUGAAAGUUUCACCAAGACAUUAUCGCAUAAAAUAGUUUGGAGUGCUCCUACUCAAACACAGGGUUAUGUAAAGGAAAGACAAUCAGCUCACUCGUCCUGAUUAUGGAUGCCAAGAGGAACUGAUGACGGCCUCAGGCACUUUCAUGGCUCCAUGUGCCCAAAAUCUCUGCAAAAAUCAUAUCAAGUGGCAUUUGGUAUUUGACCUUGCUGUACCCUUUACGGCAGGAAAUAAUGCUACUUGGGUACAACAGCUCCACAAAAUCCCGAGUGUUUUCCAGUAACUAGUAUCAAGUAAAUAACUCAAAAAAGCUGGAUGAAAAACUAAAAAAGAGAUUAAUGUGUUCAUUAAUAUGGUAAAUUAUUUUCUCCUGUAUGUAUCUGAAUGGAUGGGCAAAUAAUGAGUCUCUUAGAUUUGUGGAGCAUUUCACACUGGGGAGAAGAUCUGAUUGCUGUGCACAUUGCAUCAUUCUGUUAAUUUGAACAAUGAAACCCAACAGCUGUUUAAUAACACACCCAAGUUUACAACCUGAGGUAGAAGCAAUGUAAUUAUUUUGAGAUAAGUUAGACUGCUAAUGCUAGUAUGUGGAUUUAAGAGAUGAGUUUCUUAAUAGCUCCAUGGAAUCCAUACUUAGCUUGCAGGAGCAAAACAAAAAAUCUGGGUUCAGGGAAGAACUCAAGCUUUGAAUGAUUCAUGCAAGUCAUGUGGCAGACAUUUUAUCAGUGCUGGUCAAGAAAAAAAUGCAUUUCAAUUUUUAACACUAAGGAAAGCUUAUUAGGAAAGCUUCCCAUUAGGAUGCUCCUUUGUAGGUGUGGAACCUACAAACCUAAAAAACCUGUUUAAACUUUUGACUUAAAAAACAAUAAAAACGUAUUUAGGUGUGAGGGAAAUAAUAAAAAUAUUGGGUUUGGUAAAAUUCUGUUACCCCCAAAAGAAAUAAUCUGAAAACUCCAGUAUAGAUCAUGAUUUGAUGAAAUUGUAAAAGAGAAGUUAGCAGAGUUCAAAUUGAAGUCUCCACCAGCAGCCAGGAUGUCAUGCAAUACCUUAUGUGAACAGCUCAAAGGGUUCCUGUCAAAGUUAAAAACAGCCUAUAAUAAUUUUAUUUGUUACUACAAACAAGUCGUUACACUUAUUAUAUAUACACUUAUAUUAUUUUCAUGUUUUUUAUUAAAAAGCUUCCUUUUUAAACAAUAAUUUUAAGUAUAGCGAUUAUCUGAACACCUGAAGCUCAAAACACUGCUCCCAUCACACCACUGUGCUUCUCACCCCGGCAUGUAAAUACAGUCAUAAACAUAUGCCCUGAGGAUAGGCUAGCCACUUCACACCAGGAAAACCUCAUGUGCUGAAAAGUGAGCAUCAGCACACAGCCCAGUGUCCAGAAUGAAGGGCAUCAGAUGAGCAGUUUUAUCCCUAAUUCUGCUACUCACAUGUUGCCAUUGACCAGCUGAGCUGAUGAUUCUGGACUCAUUACUGCCACAACCUAUGGUUGGAGGGAUUUAGGUCUGCAUGUGAACAAUGCUCAUGGCAAAGUGUUGCAACAUGUAGAGUCAUGAAUUGGCUGUAGCCUGAAAAGGGAGAAGUAGAGAAAACUCAUGAAAUGCUAUGAACUACAGUAAAACUUGUGUUCAAACACUGCUAAAAUAAAAAAGCUUCAUAAAGCUCAGACAAGAGAUCUAGUUUGGAUCUUGAAAAAAAAUAAAAUUUCCAAGAGUUGAGAGAUUUGCAUGGAGUUGUUUUCCUCUUAGGCUUUCCCUUGCACCUGUCCUCACCCCACAAAGUGGGCCAUCAUCCAUCCAUUGAAUUGGUUCCUAUUGCGCAACCCUCCUGUUUUUGUCCUGGUUCAAUCCCUCAGACUUUCUUCAUUAAGUGAAUGAUUUAAUCUCAAGAGCUCACUAGUUUGGUGACUCCUAUCCAGCAAAACAAGCUCCCAGUCCUUCCCUGCUGGUACCUGCUGCCCCAAAGGCAAAGCAAUAAAGCACAGCCUUGCUGGCAUGGUGUCUCCCUUUACCUGGGCAGGUUUAGCCUCUCUUCUCUGUUCAGCAGGUUUUCCUGGCUGCUGAAACCUCUUACCAGCCCUGCUGCCUGGCUGAGGUGCAUGGGAACAAGCUGGACAGCUGCCCUUCCACCUGCUCCUGCCAGAAAAGUGUGCUGCACUCUUGGAUGCCUUGAGAUGGCAUUCAGCCCCUUGCCCUUGCACAGAGACCUAACUCCAGCACAACCCCAGAGGACAAAGCGAGUCUAGAUGCUGUUGACACGGCACAGAGGAGAGAUCUGGUGGAGCCUGGGCAGCUGUGGAGGGGCAGAGUCUGGCCAUGGGGACACUGAGCUACUAAGACCAGGCUGCACCUCAACAGCACAAGCUGUCUGCACCAGUCCUCCCAUAAAUCUCCAUGCUGAACUGUCCAAGCUGUGAAUGAGAACCCCCAAAUAAUUAAACAUCAUCUGCUUUAGCAGACACUAGCAGGAAAAUAAAUAAGACAUCCCAACAGAGGAAGAUAAUUUCACGUUUACGCUUGCAAGGGAAAAGGGAAUUUGAAACAAACAAAACAUCUUUUUUUUCCCCCUUCAGAAACUGUCUGUCAAAGCAGGACCGUAGCGACACUGAGGACUCUGUGCAAAAUUCUUCUGUUUGCUUCUGCAUUUGAUUAGCUGCCUGCAUUAUGUGUUUUAAUUUCCUGCCAUUGAAGCACAUUGCUGUCAUGGUGAUAGAUGCUAUAGAAAUGAGUAAAAUAAAUAAAAAAAAGUUCAGAACACUUUUGACCAAGUCUGCACUAAUUAGCGCAUAAGACAAACAGACAAAUGUUUUCUGGGAUUUGUGUCAACUGUAUCCAGAUUCCUCCCCUGCUUCUCAGAUAUCAGCAAAACCCUUUCUAGAAAUGGAAAUAAAGAAAGGCAGCAGAUGGUGCUGGGAAUACUCAGAGUAAGAUGUCUCCAUUCAGACCCAGAUAUUACUAUCAAACCAUGGAGUUAACAAGCACUGUGGAGCAGUGAAUAUUUAAUGUAUGGUAGUAGAAGAGCAAGGAAGGCAAUAUUGCAAAAUGACUGGAAAAGGCUAACCAGAAAACCAUUCCAGAACUUGUGUGGGUAGGAUGCUACCUGUGGUGGCAAAAGCUGAUUUAGCAGGAAUAGGUGGCAGUGGGAGAGGAAGAAGAAGGAGACUAUCCCUUGGCAGAAACAUGGGAGAAUGGAGAUUAAUCUUGUUAAUGAAGUUUAUAGUACCAAAAUGAUGGUGUGGUACUGUUCAUCUCUACUGGACUUUAUAAAAGAAACCAAAAUAUUAAUAAUUGUAACUAGCACAGGGUUCAACCAAGGCAUCCCAAGACUUUUACAGGCAUAAAACUGUCUGUGCUUUCAAAGUGAGGAAAGGAUUUCUCUGAUUGACAACAGGAAAGAAAUACAUAAAAAUAACUCCUUUCCAAAACCAAAGAGAAGUUAUUAUUUCUUGCAGAGCUUCUACCACAAGCCAUCAUCAUCCCCUCCUGGCUGCCUUUCCUGUAGAGAUUCAAAGGUACAACACAUAUCCUCAAGCCAUGUAAUAUCACUGCUAUUGUGCUCUCUAUGCAGUUCUGAUCAAAUUUUCUUUGAUCAGAAAAUUAAUCUUAGUUAGAAAUAGGAAACCUAAAGGAUAUUUACCGGACGCAGUCUAUAUUAAAUUAGCAGAUGUUUAGCAUUUUUUUUUCCAGGGUACCAUCAUUUCUCUGACAAACACAAUCUCAAUUUGGGCUAUAAGUGUAAAUUCUAAUCUCAGUAAUAACAUCUCCAAUCAUAUUGCAUGCCACCUGCAUAUACUUUGCAAUGCAAAUUGCCUGAAACACAUCCUUCCUUUCAGCCCACAACUCUAAAUGGAGGUGAAACCCCACAGCUUGAAUUUUUGGCUUUGCACAAUCUGACCUGUAGACUUUGACCUCAAGCUGAAUCUCUGCAGUUGAAAAAACCUUGCUAGGAAUUACAUAUGUACAGAACAUGGAAGCCUUUAUCAAUGCUGCUUUUGUUACAGUCUGGAAGGAGUUGCUAACCAAUUGGCUGCAUUUUUUUUUUCAGAUGGCUGUAGUCUGUACAGGGCUAACAGUGGAGCAAGUGCACUGCUGACAUAGCUAUGCAGUAAGGGCUGUAAGUAAAGAAGCACAGGGUAAAGUCUUGGGAUUUGAGGCACCCUCAAAUAUGCAGUCAUUCAAGGAUGGGCCAACCAUCUGCUCUGGGGACAUGUUGGCUGGUAACUGUGGUAUCAUUAUUCCAGAUCUCACACAUGUUCUUCUAAAUUCACCUCUUCUUGACAGAAUGCUUUGGUGUCAGGCAAAUCAGAAAAAUUACCCUCCAAAUCUUACCCAGGUGCCACCAGAUGCUUGACAAAAGCAGUCACCAGUUAUGCAAGGACCAGCGUCUUCCACAGCUGUCUCCAGCUGAUGGCUUAUGCCACUUUGGCUGCAGGAGGAAUGAAGUUUCAGCCACAGAAAUCCCAUCUGCUAUGUCAGAAACCUGCAGUGCCUAAACCUGGCCAUCACUAGCUGCUGGUCACUGGCAUUAGCAACCACAGCUCAUGCUAUGAUUAGGGGAGUUCCAGGUUUUCUGCAUCAUCUCAUUGCAUUUAGGACACGUCUCCUCCUCCGUCUACAUCCACAGGUAGUGCAGUGGCCCAAGAGGGCAGAGGCAGCUAUCAGGGUGGCAAGGAAUGGCUGAGGAAAGCAAAAAGUGUCAGCAGGAACCUAUGGAAAGCUGUAGGGAACAGGGGGAAGGUGUAGGACAAGGCUGGCACAGCCUUCAACCCCUUUGUGCAGAGACAGCCCCAUCUGCAGCAAUCUCAGACUGAAAGUCAGCCAUGUGCCAAAGCACCUACAGAAAAAAUUGGGCAGCUGUGGGGAAAAUACAUUCCACUGCAGAUGCAUCACUAUGAAAAUAGCCCAACCUGCUGACUGGACAGCCUGCACAGAUCUCACUAACGCAGCAGGCUGAGCAACUAAGGUGUCAAUUACCAGAGCGCAGCACGUGUGUACAGAGACCGGCAGGGAAGAUGUACGUGAGUGGGAGUUGAGUCCAUCACUGCCUCCAAUGCAAGGUUCAGGGGGGAGAAGUUUAAUGCACUCCAGGAGGUUACUGAAUAUGCAAUUUGGACUGCUUAUCCACAUGUCUUUUCCAGCAGGCUGAAGGGUUUGCAGUGAGGGGCAGUGGGUUCCUGCUGCUGGGUAAUGAAGACCCAGCACAGAGUGCUGUAGUGAAGGAGCAUCUUGCUUGAGUUUUAGGUACAGAUGCAGAUGUUUUUGGGGAAUUUUCUUCAAGGCCACAUACAUCAUCUGUCCUGUAAAUGAUUGCAGUGGCACCAGCUCCUGUCCUUGACUGUGCUUCUUUGUCAAGCACAGCAGUGAUAGCAAUCACUUCAGGUUUUGCAAACCUGCAGAUCACUAUUGCCAAUCUUUGUAUGAACAAGAACUAAUUAAUCUUCACCACAUCUUUGUGAAGAAGGGAAGGACAUUACUGGCAAGAAUAAUUCUUCACACUUUUGACCAAACCAGCUACAUUUCCCCAAACCAGCCUUUCACCUCAAGCAAAUACUACUCAACUGCCCUCCAAUAAAUGAUCUUACUCCUUAAAGCUUCAAGGCAAAAACUGCCCGCUGAGCAGAAACACCCAAUGGGUUCAAUGUGGUGCAAGUCCCCACAGACCAGGUGCAGUCACUGAUGACCUUUUAAUGCCCACCACUGAUGAAGGCUCAAGCUUGGUACCAUCUACACUCCUUGACAUAAUAAAGCUCAGCCUUCAAGAGAAAAGCUGCUGUCUUCCAGACCUGCAGUUCCCAGUGCAAGAAAGAGCCAUCAACAGAGACACUAAUAUGUUUUUGGUUUGCUGUUGAAAAGAAGAAAGAACAAGGGCAAAGGAAUAACCUCAGAGAACUUCCAUCAGCUCCCAAAAUGGUCCCUAGCUGUAUGGGUUUGGGAAAAAGGAUAAGCAUUUUAUUUUCUUCAGCAUGCCCUGCAGCAUUUGUCCAUCAUUUUCUUUGAGAUGAGCCAGGCUCGUUUAACUCCAGUAUUUACUGGUAAAAAAAUUUCUCUAUCUUGUUUUCCUGGAACAUUUCAGCUUGGCUCUGCAGUCAGGCAUUUCUGAAGAGCAUUUGCUUCAGUUCAGCAGAAUCUUCAACUUAGGACCAGGUUUUAAAAAUAGUAAGCUUCUACUUUUUUUUUUUUUUCCUAGCUUUUUUCCCCUUUCCUUGCUGUUUCCUUUUCAUUACCAAGGUACAGCUGGAAAGAGGGAGAGAGACAGACAUUCUCCUUUGUUUUGAACUUUGGACCAAAGGCUUAUGCUUCAGAAAAGCAAUGCUGCUCUCCCAAAGGCCAUCCUUCGUUUCUGUUAUGCCUCGUUGCCUCUCCUCCCCACAUGAGAGAAAACCCCCAACAAUAUCAUCUCCCUCGAGCUCUAAGAAAACAGGUAAUGAUGCAUGGAUGUGCAAUGAAAUUUCAAAAAUGUGCACUGACUUUUUAGAAAUAUGCCAACUGGCAAAUAAAAAGUAAAAUUAAAAAUCAGACCUAGCCAAUGUUUAAGGCGUUGAGUCUUCAGUAGCACCAACUGUGAACUGAAGCCUCUGUCACAGCACAGCAGCUUGCCCAAUAUUUAUUGUUUACAAUUUAGCCAAAAAAUAUGAUCUGUGCUUAACACAAAAGAUAGUUUGCUUAUUGUUAUUAUCUGUUUCCAGCCUACUGCUGACACACUCCAGCAGACCUUGAGUGUGUCCUGUAUAAGGUAUUUAUAGGUUUUCCUACUCAAAAAGCCUUCAAAAACCAUAGCUUUGGUUGUGUAGUGACCUGCCCAUAUGUAUGGAUAUAUCCAGCAGGAGACACUGCACUUUGUGCUUAUGUGAAGGCAAAGUGAUAGCAACUCCUUCAGAGCUGGGUACAGGAGCAAAGCUACAGAUGCAGAUACAUUGACAAGUCAAUAGAAACAUGGGCAAACUCUCUGUGUUGAGUCAUAUUUAGUUUAAUUUCCCUAUAGAUACAAGUAUUUAUGGCUGAAUCCUAUGCUGUGCACCCAAAGAUUUACCAUCAAGUGGAUGUGUGCAAAUGGACAUGGCUGCACACCAUCGCUAGCGGGUGUGUAUAUGUGAG